UACGGGGGGAGCAAGCGUUGUUCGGAUUUACUGGGCGUAAAGAGCGCGCAGGCGGUCGUUCAAGUCGCGUGUGAAAGCCCCCGGCUCAACUGGGGAGGGUCACGCGAUACUGAUCGACUGGAAGGCAGGAGAGGGUAGUGGAAUUCCCGGUGUAGUGGUGAAAUGCGUAGAUAUCGGGAGGAACACCAGUGGCGAAGGCGACUACCUGGCCUGUUCUUGACGCUGAGGCGCGAAAGCUAGGGAGCAAACGGG
rnacentral:rRNA from 1 species